rnacentral:rRNA from 1 species
UACGUAGGGUGCAAGCGUUGUCCGGAAUUAUUGGGCGUAAAGAGCUCGUAGGCGGUGUGUCACGUCGUUCGUGAAAACCUGCAGCUUAACUGUGGGCGUGCGGUCGAUACGGGCAUCACUGGAGUUCGGCAGGGGAGACUGGAAUUCCUGGUGUAGCGGUGAAAUGCGCAGAUAUCAGGAGGAACACCGGUGGCGAAGGCGGUCUGCUGGGCAGUAGCUGACACUGAGGCGCGACAGCGUGGGGAGCAAACAGG